CUGUUGAGCUAACUCUGUGAUAUAACCUUAUUUUUAAUUCCAAAGUCUUUAUGGUCAACUUCCAACGGCGAUAUUUCAUUUGAAGUCGUCUACUUGGGAAGCGAUAAGCCCUCAUCCUCAUGGGUAGAAACGUGGUAGCAAUGUUGACUACGCCAGUUCUCGAUUAUUUAGUGGAAUGGAGGAUAUUUCUACUGAAGGCGUCAACUUCAUGGCGUUUAUCCGUGAAUUCUCCGUUUCAUUAUUUUGGGAGAUGUUCCUGAAAUGUAGAAUCCAUAGAGCUGAAGUUUUGGAAGCCUACAUAUCACUAAAUGACUUGCCUUACUGGGAAACUCCAUGAAAGAA